rnacentral:tRNA from 1 species
GUGGGUAUAGCUCAGAGGUAGAGCGCGUGCUUAGCAUGUGUGAGGUCCUGGGUUUAGAGCCCAGUACCUCCA